AACGUUAGCGGCGCGCCUAACACAUGCAAGUCGAGCGAGAAAGGGCUUCGGCCCCGGUAAAGCGGCGCACGGGUGAGUAACACGUGGGUAAUCUGCCCUCGAGUUGGGGAUAACAUUCCGAAAGGAGUGCUAAUACCGAAUAAGACCACGACCUCGAAAGAGGAUGCGGUCAAAGCUGGCCUCUAUACAUAAGCUAGCGCUUGAGGAUGAGCCCGCGGCGCAUCAGGUAGUUGGUGAGGUAACGGCUCACCAAGCCAAAGACGCGUAGCUGGUCUGAGAGGAUGAUCAGCCACAUUGGAACUGAGACACGGUCCAGACUCCUACGGGAGGCAGCAGUGGGGAAUCCUGCGCAAUGGGCGAAAGCCUGACGCAGCGACGCCGCGUGAGUGAUGAAGGCCUUCGGGUUGUAAAGCUCUGUGGGGAGAGACGAAUAAGUGCGGGCUAAUACUCCGCAUGAUGACGGUAUCUCCUUAGCAAGCACCGGCUAACUCUGUGCCAGCAGCCGCGGUAAGACAGAGGGUGCAAACGUUGUUCGGAAUUACUGGGCGUAAAGCGAGUGUAGGCGGUCUAAAAAGUCAGGUGUGAAAGCCCCGGGCUCAACCCGGGAAGUGCACUUGAAACUGCUAGGCUAGAGUACUGGAGAGGUUGGUGGAAUUCUCGGUGUAGAGGUGAAAUUCGUAGAUAUCGAGAGGAACACCGGUGGCGAAGGCGGCCAACUGGACAGAUACUGACGCUGAGACUCGAAAGCGUGGGGAGCAAACAGGAUUAGAUACCCUGGUAGUCCACGCCGUAAACGAUGGGUGCUAGGUGUCGCGGGCUUUGACUCCCGCGGUGCCGUAGCUAACGCAUUAAGCACCCCGCCUGGGAAGUACGGCCCGCAGGCUAAAACUC
rnacentral:rRNA from 1 species